ensembl:lncRNA
AAAGCACUAUAAAAUCAAAAGAGUGAAAUGUCAGAAAACAUUAAAAAGUAUCAAUUGAAUCACAUGGAAAGAAAUGUAUCAACACGAGGAAAGAGUGAGGGCAUGCACUUGCUGCUGGGCUAAUUGUUUCCUGAAAUAAGGGGGAUUUGAGGGAGGUUUCUGGGGUUUGCCUUAGGUAUCUUCUCUGUAUUAACUCUUUAAUCCCGUGUCAACAAGACUUACACCUGGAGGAUUAAAUCAGUUAAAGUGGUUUUUAAGUAUGUUUUGGAGUGAUGCUGACACAAUGUUCCUACUAGGACUGCUUUGUUAGUUAGUUUGUUUUAUAAAGUUCUUGCAUCUUUGAGGACUAGUUCACAUGAUGCACCAUGCUAAGAAAUGCUGCUGUUGAUGUUCUUAUUGUAGACAGUAUAAUAUAUAUUAUUUUUCACCAAUUAUGGACUGCUGGUAAUAUGUGAAAUAACAUAAUAUGAAGAAGUGGGUUAUGUUGCAGUAAUUAUUUGGAUAAAUAUUUGAGGUCCUUUUUGUAUAGCAUUUAGAAAUAAUUUAAAAAGCACUGUUUUUUUUCUUUUUUCUUUUUUGUAGCUAUUUCUAAUGUAACAUGGUAAUCUGGCAGCAUUUGUAUUCAGAUAGCUCCGGUUCUGUGGAACAAACUGGUUAUUUGCUUGUAUAGAUAUAUAAACAUUUCUAUGUACUAAGAGAUAUAAGGCUCCGGUAAAACGAAAACAGAGGCACCAGAGGCUUAAAUGAUGGCUGGUAUGAGGAAAGCCUUUUAUUGUGUAUGACAUUAUUUUUUCUCUGCUUCCUCUUAUUCUUAAAUUACCUCGACACUAAUUAACAAGAGCUUUGUGGUCUUCAAAAUCCAUAGACACUUGUCAUCUCUCUCCUUAAUUUUCAUUGUUUCCUUUCUUAGUUUGUUUUACAGCGACUCAUACUUCACACUCAUUUAUUUUUUGGCUGUCUUCAAUGCAACAACUGCUAAUGACAACUUUGGACUAUUAAACACAAUCCCGUGUCAAAUGCAUGUCUGAUCUUUUAUCAAGACUUCAUUAUCUCCAAAUUCAAUAGGGAUUCCAGAUAAUAGCUUUGCGGCCGAGAGGCAGGGGAUUUUCCAUAUUGAUUGAAACUACUCAUACCUUAACCAUCAAGGCUGUUUGUUCAUGCUGAUGAAAAUGCAGUUAUAAACCAAAUUGAUUUCAAAUGAUAUCACUCCACUUGGUCA